rnacentral:rRNA from 1 species
UUCUACGGGGGGCAGCAGUGGGGAAUAUUGCACAAUGGGCGCAAGCCUGAUGCAGCGACGCCGCGUGGGGGAUGAAGGCCUUCGGGUUGUAAACUCCUUUCGCUAGGGACGAAGCUUUGUUGUGACGGUACCUAGAUAAGAAGCACCGGCUAACUACGUGCCAGCAGCCGCGGUAAUACGUAGGGUGCGAGCGUUGUCCGGAAUUACUGGGCGUAAAGGGCUCGUAGGUGGUUUGUCGCGUCGUCUGUGAAAUUCUGGGGCUUAACUCCGGGCGUGCAGGCGAUACGGGCAUAACUUGAGUGCUGUAGGGGUAACUGGAAUUCCUGGUGUAGCGGUGAAAUGCGCAGAUAUCAGGAGGAACACCGAUGGCGAAGGCAGGUUACUGGGCAGUUACUGACGCUGAGGAGCGAAAGCAUGGGUAGCGAACAGGAUUAGAUACCCUGGUAGUCCAUGCCGUAAACGGUGGGCGCUAGGUGUGAGGGUCUUUCUACGACUUUCGUGCCGUAGCUAACGCGUUAAAUCGACCGCCUGGGGAGUACGGCCGCAAGGUUAAAACUCAAA